rnacentral:rRNA from 1 species
UGCAGUCGAGCGGACAGAAGGGAGCUUGCUCCCGGAUGUUAGCGGCGGACGGGUGAGUAACACGUGGGUAACCUGCCUGUAAGACUGGGAUAACUCCGGGAAACCGGAGCUAAUACCGGAUAGUUCCUUGAACCGCAUGGUUCAAGGAUGAAAGACGGUUUCGGCUGUCACUUACAGAUGGACCCGCGGCGCAUUAGCUAGUUGGUGGGGUAAUGGCUCACCAAGGCGACGAUGCGUAGCCGACCUGAGAGGGUGAUCGGCCACACUGGGACUGAGACACGGCCCAGACUCCUACGGGAGGCAGCAGUAGGGAAUCUUCCGCAAUGGACGAAAGUCUGACGGAGCAACGCCGCGUGAGUGAUGAAGGUUUUCGGAUCGUAAAGCUCUGUUGUUAGGGAAGAACAAGUGCGAGAGUAACUGCUCGCACCUUGACGGUACCUAACCAGAAAGCCACGGCUAACUACGUGCCAGCAGCCGCGGUAAUACGUAGGUGGCAAGCGUUGUCCGGAAUUAUUGGGCGUAAAGGGCUCGCAGGCGGUUUCUUAAGUCUGAUGUGAAAGCCCCCGGCUCAACCGGGGAGGGUCAUUGGAAACUGGGAAACUUGAGUGCAGAAGAGGAGAGUGGAAUUCCACGUGUAGCGGUGAAAUGCGUAGAGAUGUG